ACGGGAGGCAGCAGGUAGGGAAUCUUAGACAAUGGGGGCAACCCUGAUCUAGCCAUGCCGCGUGUGUGAUGAAGGCCCUAGGGUCGURAAGCACUUUCGCCAGAGAUGAUAAUGACAGUMUCUGGUAAAGAAACCCCGGCUAACUCCGUGCCAGCAGCCGCGGUAAUACGGAGGGGGUUAGCGUUGUUCGGAAUUACUGGGCGUAAAGCGCACGUAGGCGGAUUAGUAAGUUAGAGGUGAAAUCCCAGGGCUCAACCCUGGAACUGCCUUUAAUACUGCUAGUCUUGAGUUCGAGAGAGGUAAGUGGAAUUCCGAGUGUAGAGGUGAAAUUCGUAGAUAUUCGGAGGAACACCAGUGGCGAAGGCGGCUKACUGGCUCGAGUACUGACGCUGAGGUGCGAAAGUGUGGGGAGCAAACAGGAUUAGAUACCSUGGUAGUCCACACCGUAAACGAUGAAUGCCAGACGUCAGCUAGUAUACUUGUUGGUGUCACACCUAACGGAUUAAGCAUUCCGCCUGGGGAGUACGGUCGCAAGAUUAAAACUCAAA
rnacentral:rRNA from 1 species